AUCAGCCCUUCUUGCAGGUGCCGGUGCUUACUUUUGGUAGUAAAGGAAAGAACUAAUUUAUAAACCUUAAGAACAUCUUCUCACUUUCUAUAAACAGGUUAUAAAAUCAAUUAAAAUUGCAGUACAUCAACUCUACACAUAUACCUGCUCUGUAACUGGAGACUAAUGUAAUCCAAAUAUGUGGAAAAGUCAAAUAGUUCUCAGCAAAAUUAAUUUAGAUGGAUGGAUCAGAUAACAGCUUGGAACUGAACCUAAAAGGAUCAUUCCUACUAAAAGGCAAGUUUUUCUUAUGUACGUCAGGAAAAAUAGGUGGAAAGACUGUCCUUGGGGAAAAAAAUAACUCACCCUUCUUCUGACACACAUUGAAAGAAAGAAGUAAAAGAUUAGAUGAAUAUAUAAAGAAUUUUGAAAGAAGAGAAAAGGAGCCAGAUCAACUGAUCAAGAUGGCACAGUUCUAAGGACCAGCCUAUACUUUUUUUUGCCUCAUCCAUUAUUCCA